CGGUGGCGAAGGCGGCCCCUGGACGAAGACUGACGCUCAGGUGCGAAAGCGUGGGGAGCAAACAGGAUUAGAUACCCUGGUAGUCCACGCCGUAAACGAUGUCGACUUGGAGGUUGUGCCCUUGAGGCGUGGCUUCCGGAGCUAACGCGUUAAGUCGACCUGGGGAGUACGGCCGCAAGGUUAAAACUCAAAUGAAUUGACGGGGGCCCGCACAAGCGGUGGAGCAUGUGGUUUAAUUCGAUGCAACGCGAAGAACCUUACCUGGUCUUGACAUCCACGGAAGUUUUCAGAGAUGAGAAUGUGCCUUCGGGAGCCGUGAGACAGGUGCUGCAUGGCUGUCGUCAGCUCGUGUUGUGAAAUGUUGGGUUAAGUCCCGCAACGAGCGCAACCCUUAUCCUUUGUUGCCAGCGGUCCGGCCGGGAACUCAAAGGAGACUGCCAGUGAUAAACUGGAGGAAGGUGGGGAUGACGUCAAGUCAUCAUGGCCCUUACGACCAGGCUACACACGUGCUACAAUGGCGCAUACAAAGAGAAGCGACCUCGCGAGAGCAAGCGGACCUCAUAAAGUGCGUCGUAGUCCGGAUUGGAGUCUGCAACUCGACUCCAUGAAGUCGGAAUCGCUAGUAAUCGUGGAUCAGAAUGCCACGGUGAAUACGUUCCGGGCCUUGUACACACCCGUCACACCAUGGGAGUGGGUUGCAAAAGAAGUAGGUAGCUUAACCUUCGGGAGGGCGCUUACCACUUUGUGAUUCAUGACUGGGGUGAAGUCGUAACAAGGUAACCGUAGGGGAACCUGCGGUUGGAUCACCUCCUUACCUUAAAGAAGC
rnacentral:rRNA from 1 species